rnacentral:rRNA from 1 species
AGUCGAACGGUGUCUUCGGACACAGUGGCGGACGGGUGAGUAACCCCUUAGAAUCUGCCUCUAGGUUGGGGACAACAGUUGGAAACGACUGCUAAUACCCGAUGUGCCGUAAGGUAAAAGAUUUAUUGCCUGGAGAGGAGCUCGCGUCUGAUUAGCUAGUUGGUGGGGUAAAAGCCCACCAAGGCAGCGAUCAGUAGCUGGUCUGAGAGGAUGAGCAGCCACACUGGGACUGAGACACGGCCCAGACUCCUACGGGAGGCAGCAGUGGGGAAUUUUCCGCAAUGGGCGAAAGCCUGACGGAGCAAUACCGCGUGAGGGAGGAAGGCCUUUGGGUUGUAAACCUCUUUUCUCAGGGAAGAAGAUCUGACGGUACCUGAGGAAUAAGCAUCGGCUAACUCCGUGCCAGCAGCCGCGGUAAUACGGAGGAUGCAAGCGUUAUCCGGAAUCAUUGGGCGUAAAGCGUCCGCAGGUGGUUUUUCAAGUCUGCUGUUAAAGACUGGAGCUCAACUCCGGAAAGGCAGUGGAAACUGGAAGACUAGAGUUCGGUAGGGGUAGCGGGAAUUCCCAGUGUAGCGGUGAAAUGCGUAGAUAUUGGGAAGAACAUCGGUGGCGAAGGCGCGCUGCUGGACCGAAACUGACACUCAGGGACGAAAGCUAGGGGAGCGAAAGGGAUUAGAUACCCCUGUAGUCCUAGCUGUAAACGAUGGAAACUAGGUGUGGCUUGUAUCGACCCGAGCCGUGCCGUAGCUA